rnacentral:rRNA from 1 species
UUAAUCGUAAACACAGGCAAACAACACAAACCAUUGCCCGCCAGAGGAGUACAAGCGAAAAGCUAGAAACUCAAAGGACUUGGCGGUGCCCCACAUCGACCUAGAGGAGCCUGUCCCGUAAUCGAUACCCCACGUUAUACCUCACCUGUUUUAGCCAACAGUCUAUAUACCGCCGUCGCCAGCCUGCCUAAUGAUAGCCACAGUAGCAGGUAAAAUAGGCCCCCCCCCCUAGCACGUCAGGUCAAGGUGUAGCUAAUAAACAGGUUGCAGAUGGGCUACAUUUUCUAACCACAAGAAAAUCACUACACGCGCCAUGAAACAUGCACCGAAAGGCGGAUUUAGCAGUAAAUUGGGUAAGACAAGCCCAAUUGAAACCCGCCCUGGGGCAC